UACGUAGGGUGCGAGCGUUAAUCGGAGUUACUGGGCGUAAAGGGCUCGUAGGUGGCCAACUAAGUCAGACGUGAAAUCCCUCGGCUUAACCGGGGAACUGCGUCUGAUACUGACGGCCUCGAGGGAGGUAGGGGCAUGCGGAACUGUAGGUGGAGCGGUGAAAUGCGUUGAUAUCUACAGGAACUCCGGUGGCGAAAGCGGCGUGCUGGACCUCUUCUGACGCUGAGGCGCGAAAGCUAGGGGAGCAAACGGG
rnacentral:rRNA from 1 species